UGGGGAAUAUUGCACAAUGGGGGAAACCCUGAUGCAGCGACGCCGCGUGAACGAAGAAGGUAUUCGUAUCGUAAAGUUCUGUCCUAUGGGAAGAUAAUGACAGUACCAUAGAAGAAAGCUCCGGCUAAAUACGUGCCAGCAGCCGCGGUAAUACGUGUGGAGCGAGCGUUGUCCGGAAUUAUUUGGCGUAAAGGGUACGCAGGCGGUUUAAUAAGUCGAAUGUUAAAGAUCGGGGCUCAACCCCGCAAAGCAUUGGAAACUGAUAAACUUGAGUAGUGGAGAGGAAAGUGGAAUUCCUAGUGUAGUGGUGAAAUACGUAGAUAUUAGGAGGAAUACCAGUAGCGAAGGCGACUUUCUGGACACAAACUGACGCUGAGGUACGAAAGCGUGGGGAGCAAACAGG
rnacentral:rRNA from 1 species